AACAAAGAAGAAAAGGUUUUCCCAAAAAUUGCAAAAAAUUGUAAAAAGAAAAAAUGGCUUGUCAAUUUUUAAGGGCUUUUCUGUACAUAUAAAGAACCAAGUAGUUCUCUUAACUUCAUAAUUGGAAAAUUGCAAUCGGGAGGGGACGUACUAGAACCACUUGAUGACAUAACUGAUCUCCGAACUAGAAUAGGUGGUCUAG
rnacentral:lncRNA from 1 species